GCCAGACUCCUACGGGAGGCAGCAGUGAGGAAUAUUGGUCAAUGGGCUUACGCCUGAGCCAGCCAAGUCGCGUGAGGGAUGACGGUCCUAUGGAUUGUAAACCUCUUUUGUCAGGGAGCAAAGGGCGCCACGUGUGGCGUUUUGCGAGUACCUGAAGAAAAAGCAUCGGCUAACUCCGUGCCAGCAGCCGCGGUAAUACGGAGGAUGCGAGCGUUAUCCGGAUUUAUUGGGUUUAAAGGGUGCGUAGGCGGACGCUUAAGCAAGCGGUAAAAUUGCGGGGCUCACCCUCGUCGAGCCGUUGAAACUGGGUGCCUUGAGUGGGCGAGAAGUACGCGGAAUGCGUGGUGUAGCGGUGAAAUGCAUAGAUAUCACGCAGAACUCCGAUUGCGAAGGCAGCGUACCGGCGCCCAACUGACGCUGAAGCACGAAGGCGUGGGUAUCGAACAGGAUUAGAUACCCUUGUA
rnacentral:rRNA from 1 species